CUAAUUAAAGCUUUGUAGAAGUUUUUUAUUUACAUUAAAAGGAUUUAUUGGUAACAAUAUAAUUAGA
rnacentral:tRNA from 1 species